rnacentral:lncRNA from 1 species
GUGGGGCUAUGGAACUGAGGGGCGGGGUUCAGCCAUGGGGAGGGGUACCACAGCAGUGGAACUGUGUUCUGUCACCUGAUUGCUGUUGUUUCCUCUCUUUCCCAGCUGAUGAAGACCACAUACAUGAAACACGAGCUGGUCCAGAUGCCUUUCACAGAGCACAGCCAGUGUGAGUGCAGACUGAAAAAAGCUGUGCAUUUAGUCCCACUGAGGCAGUGCCAGCCCUGUGUGGGCCGCCGCAGGGUACUGGACCCGGGCACCUGUGAGUGCCGCUGCAGCGCCACGGCCCGGAGCUGCCAGCUGAAGGGCAGGACCCUGAACCGGCACGCCUGCAGGUGAGGGGCUCCACCUGUGGGGACAGAGGGGUACCGCAGCAGCGCGGUCGGCCUGUGUGAGUCGCCUUCGCCUUCUCAUUCUUGGGGCUCAGACUGCGCCCAUUCGCUCCAGCCCAGACCCC